GACGAACGCUGGCGGCGUGCUUAACACAUGCAAGUCGAACGGAAAGGCCCUGCUUUCAUGGUGCUCGAGUGGCGAACGGGUGUGUAACACGUGUGUGAUCUGCCCCUUACUUUUUGUUAAGCCUGGGAAACUGGGUCUAAUACUGGAUAGGACCAUGCUGUAUGUGGUGUGGUGGUUAGAUUAUUUUCGGUUAGGGUUGAGCUCGCGGCCUAUCAGCUUUUUGGUGGGGUAUUGGCCUACCAAGGCGUCGACGGGUAGCCGGCCUGAGAGGGUGGACGGCAACAUUGGGAGUGAGAUACGGCGCAGAAGACGACGAGAGGCAGCAGUGGGGAAGAAUGCACAAUGGGAGGAAGACGGAUGCAGCGAAGACGCGGGGGGGAUGAAGGCCGUCGGGUUGUAAAAAACAGACAGAGAUGAAGAAGAAGAUGGGGUGACGGUAGUGGGAGAAGAAGCACCGGCUAACUACGUG
rnacentral:rRNA from 1 species